ensembl:lncRNA
GGGGCAGGGACCGGGGUGGGGGGAGGGGAGGGCAGGAGUAGGGACUCGAGGAAUCCGGGAGCGGCCAGGAGCUAGAAUUUGCCUCUGGAGUGUGACCCCUGGGGGUCCGAACUCAGCUUAGUCGGUUUACGUUGACUGACUUGUCUGAACCUCAGUUUGCUCACUUGUAAAAUGGGGAAUGUGUUGAGACCUCGCGAGGAAAGCGGACGCAAAGCGCUUGGCAAGGCGCGCAUGCGGUGCGCCAGAGGCUGCCGAGCCCGCCCAAGGCCGCCCUGCCCCGGCCCGCACCCUCACGGCGCCCGAGACCGGUUCUCUUCUAGAAGGUGUCUACGCCAUCGCUCCUUCCUCAGGCGCAGCGCCGCCGGACGUGGCGGCCAACGGCUCCUCCUGCGCCUCCCCACUGACAGCCCUGGUCUGCCCGAGCGUGCGCCCUCGCCCUUGCUCGCGUACCGGCUUCGCCAAGGGGGUCCUUUGUCCACCUCGACCUCCUCGGUGGCUGGAACCAGCCCGAUUCUGCCGCCUCCAGGAGGGAGGAGCCCGGGGGGUGGGGCGAGAAGCGGGACACCUCCCAGCUUCAUCCAGCGCCCAGGCUCUGAUCAGCCUCCCCAAGGUGCCAGCUGCGCCCAGUGCCAAGACAGGCCCACGGCCACUAACUGCUCUUGGCAACCGUCGAAGCGCCCAAGCAACCUCCGGUACGGGGCCUCAGGCCUCUUGCAAAUCUGAGAAAAUUUAGGCUCCUCCUUCCCUCCCCGCUCUGUCUCCUUUUCCCGGGUUAGCGGCGAGAGAUCAGCGGGAUCCCACAAAGCAGGUUCCGCCGCUAACAGAUCCUGGGACUCGAAGCCCAGUCUGGAACUUUUCUGAGGGCGGGAGGACCUGGGGUCAGACUGCAGCGAGCUCCCAGUCAGGGAAAACCGCUUGGACAAGCCGUGUCCCUCCAGGCCAGGGAAACAGAGGGUAGUCCGAGCGCUGGCGCGGGGAUGUGACAGAGGAGUCCACGCUGGGAACUGACUCGGCCGGGCACCGGAUCGCCCUCUUGACUCUGGAAUCUGCAUCGCCCCUCCUCCACUGUCUGCUUUUGGGGUGUCUUCCAAGACCCUCCCCAGUCCCCCUCUCCUCCUUACAAAUAGACGGGCAGAGAAGGGAAGCGUGCCUUCUCAGAAACUUAAAGGUCUCUUUCUGUCUCUCUCCCCCAGGGGGUCUACACGGCCCAAAGGACAGUCUUCAGGAACUCCUAACUGUGGGGAGGGUUCUGCUCCCCUUAACCCCCAUCCCCCCCCCCCACCCAUGCACUUGUUCUUGGAUGAGGGGAGGGUUAAGGACAGGGAGGGUUAACUGAUCACUGAUAACUCAUGUCAGUCAUGUCCAACUCUUUGGGACUCCAUGGACAGUAGCCCCCCAGGCUCCUCUGUCCAUAGGAUUCUCCAGGCAAGAAUCCUGGAGUGGACUUCCAUGUCAGGGGAUUUUCCCAACUCAGGGAUCAAAACCAGGUCUCUCACAUUGCAGGCAGAUUCCUUACUAUCUGAGCCACCAGGGAAGCCCAAGUUAAGUAUCCGCCAAAUGGCCAGGAAAGGCAGAAGGUUUGGGAAGUUACAAUCCCUGUGAGGACUCCAUCUCUUGGUUUAUUAUCUCCAUCCCUCUCUAGAAUGAGGUUCAUUGCUUUUGCACAAGAUGCCGAAAGGCUGGCAACGCAUGAAGGUGUCUGCUGUGUGUGUUCUGAGGCUGUGCAAGAUUAUUUAAAAAAAAACAACAACAACAAACUGGAGGAUAGUUGCUUUUCAACGUUGUGUUAGUUUCUGCUGUACAACAAUGUGAAUCAGGUUUUGUUUGUUACCCUAGGGGAUAUAAGGGAUGAGAUGUCUGGAGCUGUUGCAGCCACCUUGUGACCAUGAAGAAAGAUCCCACAUGCGAGAUAUAGCAGAAUGGAAAGAAGGAAGAAUUCUAGGUCUUUAACUUUUUCUUUUUUUUUAAGCUGCUAAAUUAACUGUCUCUGUAGUGUCCUACCUGAGAACUUUUUAAGGACUUCCCUAGUGACACAGUGGA